rnacentral:rRNA from 1 species
GAGUUUGAUCAUGGCUCAGGAUGAACGCUAGCGACAGGCUUAACACNUGUCAAGGUCGAGGGGCAGCGGGGGCGUAGCAAUAUGCCUGCCGGCGACCGGCGCACGGGUGAGUAACACGUAUGUAACCUGCCCUAUGCAGGGGGAUAACCCGGAGAAAUCCGGCCUAAUACCGCGUAACACCUUUUGGGAGCAUUCCCGGGAGGUUAAAGGAGAGAUCCGGCAUAGGAUGGACAUGCGUCGCAUUAGGUAGACGGCGGGGUAACGGCCCACCGUGCCGACGAUGCGUAGGGGUUCUGAGAGGAAGGCCCCCCACACUGGUACUGAGACACGGACCAGACUCCUACGGGAGGCAGCAGUGAGGAAUAUUGGUCAAUGGCCGAGAGGCUGAACCAGCCAAGUCGCGUGAGGGAAGAAUGUCCUAAGGAUUGUAAACCUCUUUUGUCGGGGAGCAAAAAGGCUCUGCGGAGUCGUAUUGAGAGUACCCGAAGAAAAAGNCNUCGGCUNAANUCCGUGCNAGNANNCCGCGGUUAAUACGGGAGGAAUGCNAAGCGUUAUCCGGAAUUUAUUUGGGUUUAAAGGGUUGCGCAGGCGGGCGUNUCAAGCNAAGCGGUAAAAAUAGCGGGGCUCAACCCCCGUCGNAGCCCGUUUUGAAACUGGCGCGCUUGAGUUCAGGCGAGGUAGGCGGAAUUUCGUGGUGUAGCGGUGAAAUGCAUAGAUAUCACGAAGAACUCCGAUUGCGAAAGGCAGCUUACCAGUCUGCGACUGACGCUCAGGCACGAAAGUGUGGGUAUCGAACAGGAUUAGAUACCCUGGUAGUCCACACAGUAAACGAUGAGCGCUAGGUGUCCGGGUCGCAUGAGACUUGGGUGCCCGAGCGAAAGCGUUAAGCGCUCCACCUGGGGAGUACGCCGGCAACGGUGAAACUCAAAGGAAUUGACGGGGGCCCCGCACAAGCGGANGAACAUGUGGNUUUAAUUCGAUGANUACGCGAGGGAACCUUACCCGGGCUCAAACGACUCAGGAAUAUAUUGGAAACGAUGUAGCCAGCAAUGGUCUGAGUCGAGGUGCUGCAUGGUUGUCGUCAGCUCGUGCCGUGAGGUGUCGGCUUAAGUGCCAUAACGAGCGCAACCCCUACCGCCAGUUGCCAACGGGUAAAGCCGGGAACUCUGGCGGGACUGCCGGCGCAAGCUGCGAGGAAGGCGGGGAUGACGUCAAAUCAGCACGGCCCUUACGUCCGGGGCGACACACGUGUUACAAUGGCAGGUACAGCGGGAAGCCACCUGGUGACAGGGAGCGGAACCCGAAAGCCUGUCUCAGUUCGGAUUGGAGUCUGCAACUCGACUCCAUGAAGCUGGAUUCGCUAGUAAUCGCGCAUCAGCCAUGGCGCGGUGAAUACGUUCCCGGGCCUUGUACACACCGCCCGUCAAGCCAUGGGAGCCGGGGGUGCCUGAAGUACGUGACCGCGAGGAGCGUCCUAGGGCAAAACUGGUGACUGGGGCUAAGUCGUAAACAAGGUA